rnacentral:rRNA from 1 species
UUUGACCUCAAAUCAGGUAGGAUUAC